rnacentral:rRNA from 1 species
AGUGGACGCUGGCGGUAGGCCUAACACAUGCAAGUCGAACGGCAGCACAGUAAGAGCUUGCUCUUACGGGUGGCGAGUGGCGGACGGGUGAGGAAUACAUCGGAAUCUACUUUUUCGUGGGGGAUAACGUAGGGAAACUUACGCUAAUACCGCAUACGACCUACGGGUGAAAGCAGGGGAUCUUCGGACCUUGCGCGAUUGAAUGAGCCGAUGUCGGAUUAGCUAGUUGGCGGGGUAAAGGCCCACCAAGGCGACGAUCCGUAGCUGGUCUGAGAGGAUGAUAAGCCACACUGGAGCUGAGACACGGUCCAGACUCCUACGGGAGGCAGCAGUGGGGAAUAGUGGACAAUGGGCGCAAGCCUGAUCCAGCCAUACCGCGUGGGUGAAGAAGGCCUUCGGGUUGUAAAGCCCUUUUGUUGGGAAAGAAAAGCAGCAGGUUAAUACCCCGCUGUUCUGACGGUACCCAAAGAAUAAGCACCGGCUAACUUCGUG